rnacentral:sRNA from 1 species
AAUUUUUGCCGAAUUUCUUAACAGAAAACGGGGGAACCAAUUUUGGGUGAAUUAUUCUUUUCGUAAAAAGAAUAUAGGGAACCUUCUACCGAACCCUCAGCUAACUCCGUAGGCAUCGAAGGGAGA